rnacentral:tRNA from 1 species
ACUUUUUUAGUAUAAAUAAUAUAUUUGACUUCCAAUCAAAAGACCUUGUUUCAAGAAAAAGUA